UACAGAGGGGGCAAGCGUUGUUCGGGAUUACUGGGCGUAAAGGGCGCGUAGGCGGCCUGUUAAGUCGAACGUGAAAUCCCCGGGCUCAACCCGGGAACUGCGUCCGAUACUGGCAGGCUUGAAUCCGGGAGAGGGAUGUGGAAUUCCAGGUGUAGCGGUGAAAUGCGUAGAUAUCUGGAGGAACACCGGUGGCGAAGGCGGCAUCCUGGACCGGUAUUGACGCUGAGGCGCGAAAGCCAGGGGAGCAAACGGG
rnacentral:rRNA from 1 species